ACGCGCCCUCAUUAACUCAAA
rnacentral:miRNA from 1 species